UGGCCUUCGGGGAGCUUAAAAACUAUACAUGCUAAGUAGUUGUAAUAAGUUGGCCUUCUAUUGUGACCAGAAGCAUAAAUGCAGUUUUGAUGCCACAGUCGUCAAGAGGUUUACAAAAUGCCUGUUCUGCCCAGGCCACUUCGUUCCGUUCCUUGACCCUGUGGUCUCCGUCCCCCUGUCCCUCUGGGUCCCUUCCUCCCACACAGCUGACUCUUCGGGACUUUGUUCUCUGUGGCUUCUCUUUCUUUCCACUCUGCUCCCACCCUUCUGCUGAGAAUGAGUAUUUUUCACCACCACUGCGCCCAGGGUGCUUAGUUUUAAAAUAUCUAGUCUGUCUCACAAAGCCCAGCAUUAAGUAAGAAUCAGGUCUCUCUCUCUCUCUCUCUCUCUCACACACACACACACACACACACACACACACACACACCCUUUUUCUGUUAAGCCAAAGGAUGACUGCCCAUUAGAGCUCGAAUCAGCCUGAAAAGGUCUAUGCCAGCUCAUGGGUUAAGGAUUCCGAGGUGCUGUGGCCGGGGUGGCUCCUAUUCGACCCUUAGCCUGGGAACUUCCAUAUGCCGCAGGUGCAGCCCCAAAAAGCAAAAAAGAAAAAAGGCUGGGAUUUCCCUCCCAGUGGGUGUGCUUGGAGGAGCCGCUUCUUUGGGGCCAGACCAGAGGCAGGUGCUGCCCGGGGCCGGGGGAGGGGGCCUUGCCGGGCCUCGCAGCCUUGGCCAGGCUUCCCGGAGGGUGGCCAGAGCCCCUCCCUUCGUCAGCACCCUGCAAGUCUGCGAGCUUCAUAGGGACCCCCAUCCUGCCCUGAUCCAGCUGCAGUUGGGGGGCUGCCUCUUCAGGACCCACUCUUCUCCUUGGAGAGCUUCCUUGACCGUGAGCCAGUGGUGGCGGGUCCAGUGGGGUCCUGCUGUGGGCAGAUGAUACUUGGGCUCCUGGAGGCAUCUCGGCGUCUCGCUGAAAUGGGUUUGCAGGUGUUUCUUCUGCCUCUCUGUGCCUCUUCCUCUUUUGCUCCAUGACCAGCCCGCUGCCCCCCUUCCAGACUGGCCCCAACCUCGCCGGUGGAGCCCCCCAACCAGGAGAGCCCAAGUUAGAGGUGCUGAGGCCACGAGAGACAUGGUGUAACUUAAAGGGAUGCCCCCUCCCAGGAAAAGAAACUACUGUGCUGUGUUUGGGGAACCCAGACCCUGCUUACUUACCCUUGGCAUUUUGAGGGCAAACUGGAACCCGCAUCCCUCUGCCUUGUUUCCUUAACUCUUCCGUGCUGCUACUUCCGACUCUGCUCCUGAAAAUUCAGCAAAUCUGAAUGUUUCUUUGGACUUUGCAUUGUCUGCUUGUCACUCUUGCAAAGCUCCUGGGGAUGGGAAGGGGGCAGAGGGCGUGUGGGGUCAGCUUUCAGGAAGGGGGCCCGCGUGCAAGGUACCUAGUGACACACAGAGGGGCUUGGACGGGAGUGGGGUGAUGUGCUGGGGGCUUCACUGGGGCCGGGGGCGUGG
rnacentral:lncRNA from 1 species